CAACAACAAAGAUUGAGGAUGAAGACCCUUAUGAUGGUCCACUUCCACUUAAUGAACAGCUGGAACCAUCGAAGUCCUUAGAUCAGCUUUAAGCACUGGAUGGAGUAAAAACCACGAGGGACUACAAGGUGAUCUGUGAACAGACUGGCAGACAGAUGACGAGAGGGAGUGACAACAAAAAUAGACAAACAAAAAGAAUGGUCUUCUGGUGACCUAAAUUACUUGCUUAUUAAAAUUUAUUAGAAAUAAACAAACAUUAAUGAAAUAAAAAUCUAAAACUGAGCCCCAGACUCAAGACUAUUAGAAAGGCUCACCAAGUGAAACCCUGGGCUGGGUCAAGUGAGCUCUGUUUUGUACAACCUGCUGCAGUUUGUUCCCCUUGAGCAAGGUGAUGCUUUGUCCUGGGCUGCAAUUUCUAACACCAUCACCAUCCCCAAGUGCAGCUCCUAUUCUAAAAAAAAAAAACAGAUGCCCCCACCCCCAAUUUCUGGUGAACUGCCAAUCUCUCCUGACUGCAGAAACUGACUCUGAAGGAGGAAGUUGCACCAGUGGUGGAGGUAGGUGGGCAAGCGGGUCGGGCAGGGAUGGUUUCCUGGAGAAUCCAUUCGGAUCUUUUCUCCAGAUGCCUAGCAUGUGCUUAAGAGUUUUUUUUUUUUUUUUAAAGUU